rnacentral:lncRNA from 1 species
CCCAAAUUAAAAAUAAAAUUAAUAAAUGCAGUCUUAGAGUUUGAUUAACUUCUCUUCCAGUAGGUGGAGCUGUGCCCACCGGGCCAAGCUUCUCCUCUCAAUACGUGGGAACCAAUCACUGUGCAGCAGCUCCUCCUCCCAGACUGGGCGGGUCUCCAAUCCUGAGUGCCCAGGGCCUUCUCUUGUGUCUAGUCACUUCCCCACUUUUCCUCAAGCCAGGCCUCGCUCACCAGUGAUGCUCACCACAAUACUGGCUACACGCCAGGUCUGCUGCUCCCAGGAGCCCUGUCUUCAUGAACAACUGGGCACACUCUCCCUGUUUGCCAUUCCCUCAGACCCUAAGUUUGUAGAGCUUGGGGCUGAGAACCCUCAGCGAAUUUUGCUAGCCCUCUGGUAGCCACGCCCCCGGUAGCCACACCCCCGGUAGCUGGUGCAAGAGACCUCAGUUGUUAGCACUGGUGGGAGCGGUAGCCGGGAGUUCCGUGCCGCGUUCCCGCGCCACUCCUGAUUCCCUCCGUCUGGCUAUCGCACUCACGGGAGAGCUGGGAGGGGCCCUUAAGGUUUCCCCGCUGUGUGGAGACGGAAGGCUAGGGGAUUACACACCUGUUGCCGCUGAUUUCAAUGAAGUUAUCUCCUCUGCCACAUUCUGGUGACAUCAGUUCUCUGCCAUGGUGGUAUCCCAUGCAAAUGGCGACAGUUCGUUCCCUUUGCCGGGUGACCAAUGCAACGGGUGGGUCCUGACUGUCUCCCACACCCUGUUUCAAUCCUGUGGCCACUGCCUAUGAAGGCUCAGUUGGCGUUAACCUCCGUAUGAUCAGAAGGGCCGACCAGUUGUUUCAGCGGGAUCGUUUAGUGCUGAGUCACAGCAGUUUGUCUGCGAGAAGCAGGCGAACGGGAGCUUGAAUUCAGCCGAUCCGGGCUCGGUGUGUGUUCUGAGAGGCCCAGACUGUUCGCCCCAGAUCCGCGUCAGCUCAGCAUUGCCUAGUGAUCCUGAGCAAACGCAUUUAGACGGUUUACGACUCCCUACGCCCGUGCAGCUGAAGAGGUCAGAGACUUGAUCUCUCCGCGCCCGCCGCCAUGUUGGAUCUCCCUUCUGUUGCUUCUUUAAACUCUAUAUUUAGUUCCUCCAUCACUUUUCUUAAAAAUGCUCUGAAGAAUUCAAGAUCAGGACCAAAAAGAAAAAUGUCUGAGCAGCAAUAUGCAUGUUAACUGCCAUUAUAAGGAGAGCAAAAUGGGUAGUGCCAUUUGUACUAAUCUUUUAACCAACAGUGAAUGUAGAAUGAGAGCAUAAGGUUAGAUUAUUUCUAAGUUCCUUUCUUGUUCUAAAAUUUCUGCCAGUGCCCUGUUACGCAGUUCUUCCUGUACCCUACCCAUGCUCUAUUUAUUCUGCUCUGUCGUAUCUAUUUCCAGAAAACUCUAUAGUAAUUAUUUCUUACUUUGUCCUGGUCAGGAACUUUAGUGACUCUUCAUUUCAUGUGGAAUUCAGUCCAAACUCUGUUUCUGAGUACCUUCCUAACCCUCUUUGGGGGCCUUCCCCUCUGGCCAGUUUCGUUUAUUUAAUAUCAUUCUACUCUGCUAUGUGUACUCUCAAUUGUUCCAUACCCCUAAUAAAAUUUUGUUAAGCAACAAAACUUCUCAGGAAUUUAGUUUCUUCACCUUUAUGUGGAAGAUAAUAGAUUUAAUGUUCCUUAUGUUUUACUUGGCGAUUUCUAAUUUACAUACAGUUUUCCCAUAUAUUAUCAUUUUAUCUUUUCGCUUUAUAGUAGUGGGCAAAGAAUUUCACACACUGUACACAAGGAAACUAUAAAAAAAAAACACGUCCAAGUCCAAAUAAAUGAGUUAAUUUGUAUGUGACAGUUGUUCUCAAACUUUGUAAUCUCCGAAAGUAUUAGUACAGUAGUACCCCCCAAAAAGAAAUAUUUAGGUGGAAAUCUAAUAAAAUAUUUACAGAAUCUAUAGGUGGAAGACAACAAAACACUGAUAAAACAAAAAUCAAAGAAGAUCAAAAUAAAUGUAGGGAGAUACUGUGUUCAUGGUUUGGAAGACCAUGUUAAUUCUCAUCAGUUUGGUCUGUAAAUUAAAUACAGAAUUAUUCAAAAUCUCAGCAAGUUAUUUUAUAGAUGUUAACAAACUGAUUGUAAAGAUUCUAUGGACUACAAAAGAUCUAGUAGAGCCAGUAUAAUUCUGAAGAAAAUGGACAAAGUUAGAGUACCUGACUUCAAACUUACUAUAUGGCCAUAGUAAUCAAGACACUGUGAUGCUAGUGAAAGAAUAAUUUAUAGAUUCGUAGAACAGAAUAGAAAUACCAAAAUAAAUCUACACAAAUAUAAUCAAUUGAUAUUUUAAAAAAUAUUUUUAGUUGCAGAGGGACACAGUACCUUUAUUUCAUCUAUUUAUUUUUAUGUGGUGCUGAGAAUUAAACCCAGUGCCUCACAUGUGGUAGGCAAGUACUCUCCCACUGAACUACAACUUCAG